AAGCAUAUAUUCACCCAGAAGGCUUUCAACAUGCGUUAGAGGCGUUGAAUAGACUUCCUCAAGGAUUACGAUUGUAAGAUCUUGUAUCACCUGAACAAGGAUAAUGUGGUAGCUAAUACCCUUAGCAGGAAGAAUACAAGUAUGUUACCUCACAUAAUAGUUUUUGAGUGCAAGGUGAUAAAGGCUAUACAGUAGAUACAACUCAAAGAUUUAAAAAAGGGCCAAUAUUUGGCCC
rnacentral:lncRNA from 1 species